AUUUAAAUAGUUUAAGAAAAAUUUUGAUUUGUGGAAUCAAGGAUGUAUAAUUACUUUAAAUA
rnacentral:tRNA from 1 species